GUGGGGAAUCUUCCGCAAUGGACGAAAGUCUGACGGAGCAACGCCGCGUGAGUGAAGAAGGUUUUCGGAUCGUAAAGCUCUUUCGUUAGGGACGAACGUGCUCUUUGUGAAUAAUGAGGAGUAAUGACGGUACCUAAAUAAGAAGCCACGGCUAACUACGUGCCAGCAGCCGCGGUAAUACGUAGGUGGCAAGCGUUGUCCGGAAUUAUUGGGCGUAAAGCGCGCGCAGGCGGGAUAUCAAGUCUGUCUUAAAAGUGCGAGGCUCAACCUCGUGAGGGGACAGAAACUGGUAUUCUUGAGUGUCGGAGAGGAAAGUGGAAUUCCAAGUGUAGCGAUGAAAUGCGUAGAGAUUUGGAAGAACACCAGUGGCGAAGGCGACUUUCUGGACGAUGUCUGACGCUGAGGCGCGAAAGCUAGGGGAGCGAACGGGAUUAGAUACCCGUGUAGUCC
rnacentral:rRNA from 1 species